UAAAGUCGAGUUGGCUUAGGGAUACGUUCGUUGGGUAGGGGAGCGUUCUGUAAGCCUGUGAAGGUGUGUCGUGAGGCAUGCUGGAGGUAUCAGAAGUGCGAAUGCUGACAUAAGUAACGAUAAAGCGGGUGAAAAGCCCGCUCGCCGGAAGACCAAGGGUUCCUGUCCAACGUUAAUCGGGGCAGGGUGAGUCGACCCCUAAGGCGAGGCCGAAAGGCGUAGUCGAUGGGAAACGGGUUAAUAUUCCCGUACUUGGUGUUACUGCGAAGGGGGGACGGAGAAGGCUAUGUUGGCCGGGCGACGGUUGUCCCGGUUUAAGCGUGUAGGUGUGUGUUCCAGGUAAAUCCGGUU
rnacentral:rRNA from 1 species